UCCUACGGGAGGCAGCAGUAGCGAAUCUUCCGCAAUGGACGAAAGUCUGACGGAGCAACGCCGCGUGAGUGAUGAAGGCUUUCGGGUCGUAAAACUCUGUUGUUAGGAAAGAACAAGUGCUAGUUGAAUAAGCUGGCACCUUGACGGUACCUAACCAGAAAGCCACGGCUAACUACGUGCCAGCAGCCGCGGUAAUACGUAGGUGGCAAGCGUUAUCCGGAAUUAUUGGGCGUAAAGCGCGCGCAGGUGGUUUCUUAAGUCUGAUGUGAAAGCCCACGGCUCAACCGUGGAGGGUCAUUGGAAACUGGGAGACUUGAGUGCAGAAGAGGAAAGUGGAAUUCCAUGUGUAGCGGUGAAAUGCGUAGAGAUAUGGAGGAACACCAGUGGCGAAGGCGACUUUCUGGUCUGUAACUGACACUGAGGCGCGAAAGCGUGGGGAGCAAACAGGAUUAGAUACCCUGGUAGUCCACGCCGUAAACGACGAGUGCUAAGUGUUAGAGGGUUUCCGCCCUUUAGUGCUGAAGUUAACGCAUUAAGCACUUCGCCUGGGGAGUACGGCCGCAAGGCUGAAACUCAAAUGAAUUGACGG
rnacentral:rRNA from 1 species